AUAUUGCACAAUGGGGGAAACCCUGAUGCAGCAACGCCGCGUGAAGGAAGACGGUUUUCGGAUUGUAAACUUCUGUUCUUAGUGAAGAUAAUGACGGUAGCAGAGGAGGAAGCUCCGGCUAACUACGUGCCAGCAGCCGCGGUAAUACGUAGGGAGCAAGCGUUGUCCGGAUUUACUGGGUGUAAAGGGUGCGUAGGCGGCUAGGCAAGUCAGAAGUGAAAUCCAUGGGCUUAACCCAUGAACUGCUUUUGAAACUGCUUAGCUUGAGUGAAGUAGAGGUAGGCGGAAUUCCCGGUGUAGCGGUGAAAUGCGUAGAGAUCGGGAGGAACACCAGUGGCGAAGGCGGCCUACUGGGCUUUAACUGACGCUGAGGCACGAAAGCAUGGGUAGCAAACAG
rnacentral:rRNA from 1 species